rnacentral:rRNA from 1 species
GAUGAACGCUGGCGGCGUGCCUAACACAUGCAAGUCGAGCGAUCUUCUUCGGAAGAGAGCGGCGGACGGGUGAGUAACGCGUGGGUAACCUGCCUCAUACACAUGGAUAACAUACCGAAAGGUAUGCUAAUACAAGAUAAUAUAAGAGAUUCGCAUGGAUUUCUUAUCAAAGCUCCGGCGGUAUGAGAUGGACCCGCGUCUGAUUAGCUAGUUGGUAAGGUAACGGCUUACCAAGGCGACGAUCAGUAGCCGACCUGAGAGGGUGAUCGGCCACAUUGGAACUGAGACACGGUCCAAACUCCUACGGGAGGCAGCAGUGGGGAAUAUUGCACAAUGGGCGAAAGCCUGAUGCAGCAACGCCGCGUGAGUGAUGAAGGCCUUCGGGUCGUAAAACUCUGUCCUCAAGGAAGAUAAUGACGGUACUUGAGGAGGAAGCCCCGGCUAACUACGUGCCAGCCGCCGCCGUAAAAC